GAGUUUGAUCCUGGCUCAGGAUGAACGCUAGCGGCAGGCUUAACACAUGCAAGUCGAGGGGUAGAGUUAGCUUGCUAACUUGAGACCGGCGCACGGGUGCGUAACGCGUAUGCAAUCUACCUUGUACAGAGGGAUAGCCCAGAGAAAUUUGGAUUAAUACCUCAUAGUGUAACGAAAAGGCAUCUUUUGUUACUAAAGUUCCAACGGUACAAGAUGAGCAUGCGUCCCAUUAGCUAGAUGGUAAGGUAACGGCUUACCAUGGCAACGAUGGGUAGGGGUCCUGAGAGGGAGAUCCCCCACACUGGUACUGAGACACGGACCAGACUCCUACGGGAGGCAGCAGUGAGGAAUAUUGGUCAAUGGGCGCAAGCCUGAACCAGCCAUGCCGCGUGCAGGAUGACGGUCCUAUGGAUUGUAAACUGCUUUUGUACAGGAAGAAACACUCCCUCGUGAGGGAACUUGACGGUACUGUAAGAAUAAGGAUCGGCUAACUCCGUGCCAGCAGCCGCCGCC
rnacentral:rRNA from 1 species